AACUUGAGAGUUUGAUUCUGGCUCAGAACGAACGCUGGCGGCAUGCCUAACACAUGCAAGUCGAACGAAGUCUUCGGACUUAGUGGCGCACGGGUGCGUAACGCGUGGGAAUCUGCCCUUAGGUACGGAAUAACUCAGGGAAACUUGAGCUAAUACCGUAUGAUGUCUUCGGACCAAAGAUUUAUCGCCUAGGGAUGAGCCCGCGUUGGAUUAGCUAGUUGGUGGGGUAAAGGCCUACCAAGGCGACGAUCCAUAGCUGGUCUGAGAGGAUGAUCAGCCACACUGGGACUGAGACACGGCCCAGACUCCUACGGGAGGCAGCAGUGGGGAAUAUUGGACAAUGGGCG
rnacentral:rRNA from 1 species